GGCUCCGUAGCUCAGUCGGUUUAGAGCGCUGGCCUGUCACGCCAGAGGUCGCGGGUUCAAGUCCCGUCGGAGUCG
rnacentral:tRNA from 3 species